rnacentral:rRNA from 1 species
GAUGAACGCUGGCGGCGUGCCUAAUACAUGCAAGUCGAGUGAACAGAUAAGGAGCUUGCUCCUUUGACGUUAGCGGCGGACGGGUGAGUAACACGUGGGUAACCUACCUAUAAGACUGGAAUAACUCCGGGAAACCGGGGCUAAUGCCGGAUAACAUUUAGAACCGCAUGGUUCUAAAGUGAAAGAUGGUUUUGCUAUCACUUAUAGAUGGACCCGCGCCGUAUUAGCUAGUUGGUAAGGUAACGGCUUACCAAGGCAACGAUACGUAGCCGACCUGAGAGGGUGAUCGGCCACACUGGAACUGAGACACGGUCCAGACUCCUACGGGAGGCAGCAGUAGGGAAUCUUCCGCAAUGGGCGAAAGCCUGACGGAGCAACGCCGCGUGAGUGAUGAAGGUCUUCGGAUCGUAAAACUCUGUUAUUAGGGAAGAACAAAUGUGUAAGUAACUGUGCACGUCUUGACGGUACCUAAUCAGAAAGCCACGGCUAACUACGUG